rnacentral:tRNA from 1 species
GUUCCUGUGACGCAGUGGUUAGCGUGUCGUUCUUAUAUUGUAUGCUAGCAUCCAGUAUGAAUUCUUUCAAAGUAAUGCGAAAGUCGCGAGUUCAAGUCUCGCCAGGAACA